rnacentral:rRNA from 1 species
AGGAUGAACGCUGGCGGCGUGCCUAACACAUGCAAGUCGAACGUCCUGUCUCGCAAGAGGCAGGGAGUGGCGGACGGGUGAGUACCACGUGGGUCAUCUACCGUGAGGUGAGGAAUACCGGCGAGAAAUCGCCGACAAGACCGCAUAGGCUCGAUGCAAGUCGAGCAAAGCUCUUUCGAGAGAGGGAGCGCCACACGAGGAGCCUGCGCCCGAUUAGCUAGCUGGUGGAGUAACGGUUCACCAGGGCGACGAUCGGUAGCUGGUCUGAGAGGACGAUCAGCCACACUGGGAUUGAGAACGGCCCAGACUCCUACGGGGGGCAGCAGUGAGGAAUUUUCGUCAAUGGGGGCAACCCUGAACGAGCAACGCCGCGUGCAGGAAGAAGGUUUCGGAUCGUAAACUGCUUUUCUCGGGGAAGAGAAUGGACGGUACCCGAGGAAUCGAGCCCCGGCUAACUACGUGCCAGCAGCCGC